UAAAUACCCCUCUUUUCUCUCCCAAAUUGAUGGAAAAAAGAGAGCAGAAAGGGAUGGAGAGUUCUUAACCUUCAACCCCAUUUUUCUCUAUACAAACACCAAAAAGAGAUAUAAAUAAGGUGAUUAGGAAGAAGAGUGAGCAUUUGUAUAGAAGAAAUUGAGUGAACUUGGAGACUUACACUACUAGGAAGUUAAAACCACAAGAAUAUUGGAGAAAAGAAAACGAAUAGAAGUGCAAGGAACUCCAAAUCUUGAAUAUUAUGUUAGUUCAUCCAUCUUAACAAGGAAAGGGUGUUAGCAUCGUGCAGCAGUCAAGUACUAGCUCUCGACAGCAGGCCCCAAUUUAUUCGACUCAUGGAGGAAUCAAUUACAGGAAUGAAAGAUAGUCUAUUCGACUCAUGGAGGAAUCAAUUACAGGAGUGAAAGAUUGCAAUUGAUCAAUCAGUUGUUCAGCAAUAGCAACAGAGAUUAUGAUUUGUCGUGCCGAAGAUGUUAGAAAAUUCUGUUCCACAACAUGAUCAAGAAAAGACAAUAAAUUAUCAUAAAAACCAUUAACAUUUUGCAAACCUAUAGGUUUCUGGUGAAUGUUUAGUUGGGCCCAAGAGAAAAUACAAAAUAUCUCUUAUAAUGUGCCCAGACCACCUGUAAGGCAAUGAAGGCGUCAGCAUGAUCAAA